AGCGAACGCUGGCGGCAGGCCUAACACAUGCAAGUCGAACGAACUCUUCGGAGUUAGUGGCGGACGGGUGAGUAACACGUGGGAACGUGCCUUUAGGUUCGGAAUAACUCAGGGAAACUUGUGCUAAUACCGAAUGUGCCCUUCGGGGGAAAGAUUUAUCGCCUUUAGAGCGGCCCGCGUCUGAUUAGCUAGUUGGUGAGGUAAAGGCUCACCAAGGCGACGAUCAGUAGCUGGUCUGAGAGGAUGAUCAGCCACAUUGGGACUGAGACACGGCCCAAACUCCUACGGGAGGCAGCAGUGGGGAAUCUUGCGCAAUGGGCGAAAGCCUGACGCAGCCAUGCCGCGGGAAUGAUGAAGGUCUUAGGAUGGUAAAAUUCUUUCACCGGGGACGAUAAUGACGGUACCCGGAGAAGAAGCCCCGGCUAACUUCGU
rnacentral:rRNA from 1 species